rnacentral:lncRNA from 1 species
UUCUUCACUUUAUACCCAGAGCUAUCUUCUGAGGAUUUAACUCAAGAGUCUGAACGUGAGAUACAUGGACAUACAAGGGUUCCAGGGUAGAUUUGGAGGGGGCAACACGCAUACCCUGACAUUAUAUAAAAAAUUGUGUGCUGGUGUGUUUCUGGGAAGAGGGGCUGUAUCUAUCACCAGCCUCUCCAUGAACUGAUGACCCAAAUGGGUAAGAACUCAUUUUAACUAAAGAUAAAAAAGAAGAUAUGCAAGCUGGGACCAGCCCUACCAUUUUAAUUAGUGAGGAAUGAUUCUUACAGUGUUUUUACCCCAGGCGAUGAUUUUUUUGACAAUUCCCUGCUUAUAAUGAGAAUCAACUCUGUUGGGUGUCCAAAAAAUAACCUUGGUUCUAAAAAACCCAGGGAACAAAAUAAACAAGUAAAGAUGGUGAUCAAAAUAUCGCUCUGGGAGUUCCUGUCAUGGCUCAGCAGUAACAAACCUGACAAGUAUCCAAGAGGACACAGGUUCUAUCCCUCGCCUCGCUCAGUGGAUUAAGAAUCCAGUGUUGCCGUGAGCUGCGGUAUAGGUCGCAGAUGUGGCUCAGAUCCUUCAUUGCUGUGGCUGUGGUGUAGGCUGGCAGCUGCAGCACUGAUUCAACCCCUAGCCUGGGAACCUCUAAGUGCCGCCGGAGUGGCCUUAAAAAAGAAGAAAAAAAAAAAAAUCACUCUGAUUUGUCACAGAGGUGAGCUGAGUGUAAGCUAAGUAAUUUAGUAAGAGCCACACAAGCUGGCCAGACUUCCUCACCAAUCACAAGCAAAGCUGGACCAGGGCAGACUUUUUUGCAAUGAGUUUGUCUAGGUAAGAUUCACAGUAUAGAGGGUAGAAGAGAAUUCCCGCUUCCUUUGGACACACCCAGUCCCAAGAGGAAAAAGAAAAUGAUGAGCUAAGCUAAGCAUCUCCAAUUUUCCUCUCUAAAUCUACCCAUCAGAUAUGCCAUCCUACCUCCUUAGGGAUACGCAAGGACAGGGGUAUGUAUGGAGGAGCAGAGGAACUCCCUAUCCACAAACUACACCAUUUUUUCUACUCCUUGUCUUUAAUUAUUUGAUUUUAUGUUACAUGACACUACCACUUCUUUUUGUGUGUGUGUGUCUUUUCGUCUUUUUAGGGCCCCACCUGCAGCAUAUGGAGGCUCAGUCAGAAAUUCUAACAGUACUAAAUAGAGCUGAUUCAUGUGCAGUGGGUGGAUCAGAAUAGUUUUGAUUCCAAAUCCCAGAAAACCCAACUCAGAUUGGUUUAGGCAACAUGGAGAUUGUUUUGUUUAUGUAGCUUAAAGCCGGGAUGUCUAUUAUUGAGCCAAUCACUGCCAAUCAGGGUAAGGCUGCUCUUAAACUAAGCAGAUUUUGGAUGGAGAUCAAGAUGGGGCCAGCUUUUCCUUAGGCACAUGGGCUGAAUGUGGGAACAGUAACUAUACCUGAAAAAAAGGGGGUUCUCUUAGGGGGAAAAGGAGAGUAGAGAAUGGGUGACCAAAAUCCCAAAGAGCGGUCACAUGCAAACUUCCUCCUCUUAUGACCGCACGUCCCUGUGUCCAUACCGUUUUGGCCAAUCAUGGAGAACUCAUUUUGAUCGGGUGAAUUUCAUAAACAGGGAACAGAGCACAGAGGUUCAAUAAACAUGUGUUGAACAGAAACCAAAUGUAC